rnacentral:tRNA from 1 species
GCGGUCUUACUCAAGUGGUUCACGAGGGCUGUUUUGAAAACAGCUAGGCGUUGACAACAACGCGCGUGGGUUCAAAUCCCACAGGCCGCG